rnacentral:ncRNA from 1 species
GCAGGGGAUAGCCCGACGGGGCAAAAAGCGGGAUUCGUCCUUAUCCGUUUCCCCUGCACCACCAAAGGAC